UAGAGUUUGAUCCUGGCUCAGAUUGAACGCUGGCGGCAUGCCUUACACAUGCAAGUCGAACGGCAGCACGGGAGCUUGCUCCUGGUGGCGAGUGGCGAACGGGUGAGUAAUACAUCGGAACGUACCCAGGAGUGGGGGAUAACGUAGCGAAAGUUACGCUAAUACCGCAUAUUCUGUGAGCAGGAAAGCGGGGGAUCGCAAGACCUCGCGCUCUUGGAGCGGCCGAUGUCGGAUUAGCUAGUUGGUGAGGUAAAAGCUCACCAAGGCGACGAUCCGUAGCAGGUCUGAGAGGAUGAUCUGCCACACUGGGACUGAGACACGGCCCAGACUCCUACGGGAGGCAGCAGUGGGGAAUUUUGGACAAUGGGGGCAACCCUGAUCCAGCCAUGCCGCGUGAGUGAAGAAGGCCUUCGGGUUGUAAAGCUCUUUCGGCGGGGAAGAAAUGGCAACGGCUAAUAUCCGUUGUUGAUGACGGUACCCGCAUAAGAAGCACCGGCUAACUACGUGCCAGCAGCCGCGGUAAUACGUAGGGUGCGAGCGUUAAUCGGAAUUACUGGGCGUAAAGCGUGCGCAGGCGGUUUAGUAAGACAGGCGUGAAAUCCCCGGGCUCAACCUGGGAACUGCGCUUGUGACUGCUAGGCUAGAGUACGGCAGAGGGGGGUGGAAUUCCACGUGUAGCAGUGAAAUGCGUAGAGAUGUGGAGGAACACCGAUGGCGAAGGCAGCCCCCUGGGCCGAUACUGACGCUCAUGCACGAAAGCGUGGGGAGCAAACAGGAUU
rnacentral:rRNA from 1 species